AAUAAUGUUGCAGCAGGGGCAGGACUCAGAGAAGAAGUUGGGAGGGCUCAGCCAGUGAGUGAUGGCAGCAGAGAUUAUCAAUGCUGGAUAUCUGGAAAUCUGGCAGAUGAUGCCUUGCUUCUAAAAUCCCUGGAUCCUUUUCCUCUGGGCUGCAGAGAAUGUCUCAAGCUAGAAAAAAAUCCACAAGAGACCCCUUGUGUCACUCAAAAUAACUUGUUCUUUUCGCUUCAAUAAAAGUAACUGGUUGUGGUGGUGUAUUGCA